CACUGGCGGGCGUCUCGCGUCUCAACACCAGAGACAUCACUGAGUCAUCUGUCACUCUGUUCUGGACUCCACCUGCCGUGCAGUACGACACCUACCACAUAACCUUCACCAGCAGGAAAGAAACAGAUCAGAAAAUAAGCUCCAAAAUCAAUGGCAGACUGAGCACCUACACUCAGAUUGGACUGGCCGCUGGACAGGAGUACACGGUCAGCAUCACUGGAGAGAAAGAUGGCAUGAUGGGAAUGGAGAGCACAGCAGAAUUCACCACAUUGAUCUCUGGCCCAAAAGACUUGCAAGUUGUGAAGACAACCACUACAUCAGUCAUUGUCCAAUGGGAGAAAGCACAGGGGGAGAUUGACAGGUACGUCCUCUCCAUUGCACCCAAUCAGACAGAUGGAUCGAACAGACUUCCAGAAAAGAACCUGCCGCCGGAGAGAGAUUCAGCCCAGAUCGAUGGCUUGGAGCCGGGCCGCUUGUAUGACAUCUCAUUAGUGGCAGAGAAAGAUAGCAUCCGGAGCCUGCCAACAACCACACAGGCAACCCCUGGGAAUGCCUCAAUGCCUGUGACCAGGAUGACCACAGAGACACAGACCGAGCAGGUAGACAACAACAAAGAAAAGACACCAAGGUUCACGAACACAACACUCUUCCUGCGAAAGCAAGAACUGAGCAAAGGGGGCCAAGUGACAGAAGGGAAGGUUGAAAAUCCAGAAAGAACAGGGAAUGUGAGCAAACUCAUAACAGACAUACUUGUUAGACCUGGGCAAAAAAGACCAGAUAGGAUAAGACCACAACCCACAAGAAGAAAUCAUAGUCCAGAGAUAAAACAUUUAAAUUUUUCCCAGAUAGGAGCAAAAGGAGGAAUUGUUGUGCCUUUUUCAAAUAAGUCAAGAACGUGGUAUCCUCUGAGACCAAGAAACCCUAAUGUAGAUUCGGCUUCUCCUGUCUCUGGUGGUAAACCAUUGGCACUGACAAUGAAAGAGACAAGAUCUCAGGAGGGAAAUGCUGAAACCAACUUUAGAACACAAUCUGUCAAGACACCCGGACAUGCCAGUCCAAGCUCCACCUUCCAAAAACACAUAAUCACCCAAUCUGCCACCCCACUGCCCUUUACAAACAUCACUGAAUUGACUGAAGAGCCAACAAUUACAACAGAAAAAAACCUAACAGCCUAUAUAAAUGGGACAAAAUGUGUUCGAAAGGUUUUGGUUGGGUACAGAAAAAUAAAUGCAAACAUGUCAGAUGGCAAUACACUGACCAAAAACCUGACCGUUAUAGUUGGCCAUGUAAAUGGAAAUGAUCUCUUACACAAACUUCUGACAGAUGGAUCUACAGCCAAUGCAAUGGGGGUUACAGGGCCUGAAGCUGAGACAUCUGAAGCCAGAAGGAGUGUGAAAGAGCAAGGAGGAAUGGAGAAUAUUGAUGAAGAGACAAUGGAAAAGAAUGCAAAUGUAGUGAAUGCCACUCCCUUUUUAACAAGACAGCCUGAGACAACACUUUACCAGCCACUCACCACCACAUCAGCUCCUCCAUCCCUACACAAUCAUCACGUCCCUACACCACAAUCUUUGGCACAACCUGAGAGAGUGAAUCAAUAUACAGCAAGAAAUCGGUCAACAGCAGAAAGACCACCUAGAAAAAACAGUAUGCGGGCAUUUCCAUUGUCCAUCCCCAGACAGCCAACUAGACCAAAAGCCCCAAGUUUAUCUUCUCCACCAAUAGUAGGUAGACCACUUUUUAAGUCAAAUUCCUCUUCCUCAUCUUUUGAGACACAAAAACACAAGCAUACAUCUUGGCCUAGUCCCAUCGCCUCUCGUUUUGCAAAAGAACCACAUGUUGAGAAGGAAGUGUUAAAUUCAAUUCCAUCCGCAAGGCAGUUCCAGGAUUCAACUCCUGAACUUGCUCACAAGUCCAAAACUGAGACUCCAACUCCACUGCCAGUCAAAUUCCCCUUGAAAAAAGACACUGCUAUAAAAGACAGAGGCGUUGAAGAAUCAGAUCUGAUGCCAUAUACACUGUAAAAUCAAACAGUUUACCUUACUUAGAUUUAAUUAGUUAUCUUUACUUAGUUGUUAUACUUACUAGGUUUUAUUAAGUUUCAGCUACUUUCAAGGCAAAUAAAACAAUUUACUUACUGUUUUGAGUGACACUUACUUAAAAUAUUCAAGUAGUCACAAAGGAACCAAUGACAUUAAUAAACCAGUGAGAGGCAGCAGUGCACUAAUAUGUUGCUAAUUGCCGUUAGUUAUCUUUACUUAGUUGUUAUACUUACUAGGUUUUAUUAAGUUUCAGCUACUUUCAAGGCAAAUAAAACAAUUUACUUACUGUUUUGAGUGACACUUACUUAAAAUAUUCAAGUAGUCACAAAGGAACCAAUGACAUUAAUAAACCAGUGAGAGGCAGCAGUGCACUAAUAUGUUGCUAAUUGCCGUUUUUCUUUUUUUUAGCUCACCAUUAUAGUGAUUAGCAUUCCCUCUGGUUGGGCACUUGAAACUUUAUUUAUGUUACUAUAAUUUUCUCUCUAUUAAUGGAGAAAUGCAUCAUGAAAUCAGAGUUAUUUGAUUUCAAUGAAAAGUAAUAAAUAGGUUGCUUUUAUAAAAUGACCUAUUUUUUAGUUAAAGCAUUUUUUUGUGUGCGUUUAAUAAUGACCUUUUUGAGAUUUUAUUUUUCAUAAAUACCUUGAAAUGCUUUUUAUAUAAUCCAUAAAUAGUGUGUGGUACUAUGCUGAAGUCACACACAGACUUAAACAUUCAUCACGUGAAUCACAACGAUGGUAACAAUUAAAUUUAACUUAUUUUCAUUAAUUGUAACAAUAGCCAUUUUAUUUGCUCUUUUUGUUGUGCUACUACUGACACAAGACAGCAAAUAAAAUUGGCAAAUCAUAAUUUAUUCUGUGCAAUGCAUUCUGGGAGUCAGUGAGUAGCUAUACGAAGUCAUGAGUAAACCUAAAUGAAAGGUUCAAGUACCCCCUACAGUUCUUUUUUAGUUACUAGAACUCUUGUGUAAGUUAACUAUACUAACUAAGCAUUUGUCAGUACAAUAUACUAUUCCUAUUUCACUUUACUUAGUUUUUUCAAGGCAAUCGGUUUGCAUGCUUUUUUUAAGUAAGCCCAACUUAUUAGAUUUUACAGUGUAGGUAAUACGAUCUGAGUCUAUGCAUUACCAGCAGUCCUUCUGUGUGUCUGAGUGGACUCAAAGGGAGAGAUACCAAGGAAUACAAAAAGAAAGAAAGGGAACAUGUAAAAGAGUGACGUUUGGGAAACUGCAGGUGUGUAUAGGGUUGAAUGCCAGUUAAAGGUCGAUGAUGUCAUGUUGCAUGUUUUUUUUUUUAAAUGAAUAGAUCCAA
rnacentral:lncRNA from 1 species